rnacentral:rRNA from 1 species
GGGGGACCUUCGGGCCUCUUGCCAUCGGAUGUGCCCAGAUGGGAUUAGCUUGUUGGUGGGGUAACGGCUCACCAAGGCGACGAUCCCUAGCUGGUCUGAGAGGAUGACCAGCCACACUGGAACUGAGACACGGUCCAGACUCCUACGGGAGGCAGCAGUGGGGAAUAUUGCACAAUGGGCGCAAGCCUGAUGCAGCCAUGCCGCGUGUAUGAAGAAGGCCUUCGGGUUGUAAAGUACUUUCAGCGGGGAGGAAGGGAGUAAAGUUAAUACCUUUGCUCAUUGACGUUACCCGCAGAAGAAGCACCGGCUAACUCCGUGCCAGCAGCCGCGGUAAUACGGAGGGUGCAAGCGUUAAUCGGAAUUACUGGGCGUAAAGCGCACGCAGGCGGUUUGUUAAGUCAGAUGUGAAACCCCCGGGCUA